rnacentral:lncRNA from 12 species
AUAGUAUCUUUUUUUAUCUAAUAAGUGUAAACAUUAAGCACAGUUGUUAGUCUGUGUGAACAGGACUGUGUCACUGAAGAUUAUACAUUGAUUUGUUUCAUUUCUCCACUUUAUUUUCUGUAGUAUAAUUCCAAAUAUGUUUUUUUUUUUAAUAGAGUCCACCAUGAAGUUUAAUAUGAAAAAGGCGGGACCGCUCUUGGCAUGGGUAUGAUUGUCAUCCAGUUAUGUUUUGUUUAAUGUACUCAGAGAUCUGACAAAUAAAUAGGUUGUUAGUCACGGUUAUUUAGUCUGUUGACAUGCUGGUUUAUAGUCUCAAUGUUUCUUCUGUAAGAUGCUUGACUUGUUCUUUUGACAGAUGAACACCGUGUUCCCAGAGAAGCAUGUCUGGGAGUUCGUUCCCAUGAGAGAUGGGAUUCUGCUCCUGAAGAUCUGCUUCAGACUAAGGGGCACGGAGAACACCGCGGAUUUUAAGACUUUAUCCCUUUACGAGAAAGUGGAAAUCAUUUUCAGUGUUUUGCAUGAUGAUUUUCACCUCACCGAAAGACAGAGUUCCCUCAUCUUACAGAAGAUCAGUGGAGGGAUUGACCUGGAGCUUCAGCUCGCUAAGGUAUAAAUUUGUGCUCUAAAUCAGGGGUUUUCAAACUAAAUAAAUAAAUAACAAAAACGUUAAAUAAUGAAAAUUAUUAUAAAAUGAUGUCAAAGUAAAUG